ACAGAUGCGGACACUCACCAUGGAGCGUGGGUUGAGCUGGCUGCUCCUCCUGGCUCUUCUAGGGGGUGUCCAGUGUGAGGAGAAGCUGGUGGAGUCUGGGGGAGACUUGGUGCAGCCUGGGGGGUCUCUCAGACUCUCCUGUGCAGCGUCGGGAUUCACCAUCAGCAGCUACUACAUGCAGUGGGCCCGCCAGGCCCCAGGGAAGGGGCUACAGUGGGUUGCAUACAUCAAUAGCAAUAGUGGUAGCACAUACUACGCGGACGCCGUGAAGGGCCGAUUCACCAUCUCCAGAGACAACGGCAAGAACUCGCUGUAUCUGCAGAUGAACAGCCUGAAGCCCGAAGACACGGCAGUGUAUUACUGUGCGAGAGACACAGUGAGGGGAGCAGGU